UUAGGCUCCAGGCCACUUCAAAUAGCAGCAUUAACACAUUACGAUGUGUAGCCGUUACCUGUAGAAAUGUAAGUGGUCGUAAAUGCACUGCAGGGGUAUCACCGUAACUGGGAUGAAGUGCUGUGAGCAAACAAAACACUUGACAAUUGGAUACGUUUUUUAUGGCAAAGGCAAAUUGAGCUGCACAUGGAAAAUGUAUCCGCUGAUAUGAAUGGAUAGCUUGCUUUGCUUUGUGACGCUUAGCGUGAAGGCGAUCCAAUCCUGCUAAUGUUUGAAGAGAGCUAGGAAAUCCUCGAUGCGACAGUAUGUACAAGCUGAUUUUUUUAAUUCUUAUGCGUCGUUGUAGGCCUUGAGUUCCCGUUCUUUUCUCUUAUUACGUUCUUCUCCAUGGCCUCAAACCGUUCAUAGGACAACUUUACCGCCGCUAUCAGGCACAACGGGUAUCUAAUGGGUUUCCAGCCAAACGUUGAAGCUCAGUGACCUCGAAUCGCUGUACAAAGGACUGCUAUCACAACAUCGCGAGCGAAAGGCUGAUGACGAAGGAAACGGAAAUGCAGAUUGAGGAAAUGCAUACAGCAGUAUUGAAAGGAACAGUACCAUUACCACGGAAGAAGUCUACCGACCGAACCAGUUGUCGUUUUCUCAAUGAACUAUCUUUUUCGAAUGGAAACUUCGUCUCAAUACUGAAAAGUGUGCCGACACCGAGCGCGACGGGCACGCAAAUGCGGUAUAAGAGAAGAACGAUAGAGAGAGAGAGAGAGAUGGAGGUGUCAAUAGAGUGCACCGUUGCAGGGACGAUUUUCAAACAGUUAUACAAAGAAUGCGCGUGGUGGUGGUGAACGUGAUCUAUGGUGAUUCGAUGGGCGGACGGGGGUCGGUAAGUCGUUCCUGCUUCCGGUUCUCUUUGGUAAGGCCAGAGCCCUUUGCCCCAGGAGACAGCCGAGAUAAGAUUGGAAUAAGUAAAUAAGUCGAGUUUUUCCGAGAAGUGGGGCUACAGAAAGGCGGAUAAAACGACAUACGUUGUUUAUAGUAACAAAAGGUACACAUGGUAGGUAGGAUAGCAAAGCGUGUGCGAAUAUUCAAAAUUAAACAUUAUUUGACGGGCUACGUCACAUGUUGAGGGCAUGGCUUACGGCAACGACCGCCUGACCCUUUAAAACUAACUUUUUUGUGAUAAAAGACACUAGAAGAAGGGACGUUUCAAGACGGGAUGUCAAUUCUCUAAAAGGUAAUAGAGUUUGAAAGGACAAACGUU